UACGUAGGGUGCAAGCGUUGUCCGGAAUUAUUGGGCGUAAAGAGCUCGUAGGCGGUCUGUCGCGUCGGCUGUGAAAACCUGGGGCUCAACUCCGGGCCUGCAGCCGAUACGGGCUGACUAGAAUUCGGUAGGGGAGACUGGAAUUCCUGGUGUAGCGGUGAAAUGCGCAGAUAUCGGGAGGAACACCGGUGGCGAAGGCGGUUCUCUGGGCCUUACCUGACGCUGAGGAGCGAAAGCGUGGGGAGCGAACAGG
rnacentral:rRNA from 1 species